CCUACGGGGUGCAGCAGUGGGGAAUAUUGCACAAUGGGGGAAACCCUGAUGCAGCGACGCCGCGUGAGUGAAGAAGUAUUUCGGUAUGUAAAGCUCUAUCAGCAGGGAAGAAAAUGACGGUACCUGACUAAGAAGCCCCGGCUAACUACGUGCCAGCAGCCGCGGUAAUACGAAGGGGGCAAGCGGUAUCCGGAUUUACUGGGGGUAAAGGGAGCGUAGACGGCCAGACAAGGCAGAGGUGAAAGCCCAGGGCUCAACCCUCGGACUGCGUUUGAAACUGCCGGGCUGGAGUGCAGGAGAAGUAAGCGGAAUUCCUGGUGUAGCGGUGAAAUGCGUAGAUAUUAGGAGGAACCCCAGUGGCGAAGGCGGCUUACUGGACUGUAACUGACGUUGAGGCUCGAAAGCGUGGGGAGCAAACAGGAUUAGAUACCCGGGUAGUC
rnacentral:rRNA from 1 species